AAAAGAAAUAAAGAAAGUUGCCCCCCCAACUGAAAGAAUCCUCCACGCAAAAGACACUUUGCCGGGAGAAUUCCAAUUUUAUUGCAAAAGGCUGUGUGCUUUUAUAGAUCUAAGGGGAGAUGGCAGGGCUUAGACAAAUGGCAGGCCACCGGUUUAUUGGCAAGUUCUUCCAGAUAUCAGCUCCAGAGCCCAGGAAUUAGUUCUUAUUGGGGCUAAGGUUCCCUGCCAGCGAGAUUUGAAAUUGACGCCAUCGGGAGAGUUCACACGGCGGGAACUUUUCGCACCAGUGAGAAAAAGGGGAAAGUAGGAAGAGAAGGUCAUUAGGCGCCAUGUUGGGUUUUUCCCCUGGGGUGCAGCUGCCGUUUAUACUUUUCCCAACACCCACUACCAACAUCCCCCAGAGGGCAAGGGGGAAUACAUACUAGUUAUAAUUGAACCUACCUUGGUACAUUGUCACCCAAAGUCCACAGUUUACCUUAGAGUCCACGCUCAGUGUUGUACAUUCUAUGCAUUUUGACAAAUGACAUGCACUGGAUAUUACAGCCUCACACUGAGGUUUUAACUUUUUGGGGGGGAGCGGUGGUGCUGGGGAUUGAGCCCAGGGCCUUGAGCAUGCU
rnacentral:lncRNA from 1 species